AUGAAAUUUGCCUAUUUCCCCAAAUUUAGCCGACUCUCGCUCAAUCUGGUCUGAUCUGGUCUCCUCUUCUCCCCUGAAUUUGGCAGUAGUAACCCAAACUGUUAGCCAACUGCAAUCCUCCAUAACCGCGGCCUGCCUUCGCCGAUUUCUUUCUGCGGCUCUGCAUCCGGGUUGCAGCCGAGCAUUCGAGGUAAAUCGUUUUCUAUUUUGCUACCACCAGAUUUUUUAUUUUUAUUAUUAUUAUUAAUUUUUUUUGUUGUAACUUCAAGAAGUAAUUAAGUAUGAAUGAUGAGUUCACUUUUGAUGAUUUUUUUUAUUGUUUAAUGAGUGAUUAAGUAUGAAAGUUUGCAUACUUGAAAUUGAAAAUUGGUUUAGGGUUUAGGGUUCAGCUUUGAAAUUUGAAACAAGUACAACUCGUUGAAAACAGAAUGAAACUUAGAUAGUCUCACCAAGCCCUAAUUAAACAUAAUUAAAUCCUUUUGACUCAUUUAUUACUACAGUAAAGUAUUUAAUCUUAUGCUAAAGUAUAUAAACUUCAUUACUAUGGACUAUUUGACGG
rnacentral:lncRNA from 1 species